rnacentral:rRNA from 1 species
GAUGAACGCUGGCGGCGUGCCUAAUACAUGCAAGUCGAGCGAACAGGCGCGGCUCUUGCUCCUCUCACGUUAGCGGCGGACGUGUGAGUAACGCGUGUAUACCCUCCCUAUCAGACUGGUAUCACUUCGGAACACCGGCUCUUAUACCGGAGAAUCUCUUGCUGCGCGUGGUUCAAUGGUGAGAGACGGUUUUGCUGUCUCUUCUCGCUGGAUCUGCGCCGCAUUAGCUGGUUGGUACGGUACCAGCCUACCACGGCAACGAUGCGUAGCCGACGUGAGAGGCGGAUCGGCCACACGAGAACUGAGACAGGGACAAGAGUCCUACGGGAGGCAGCAGUAGGGAAUGUGCCGCAAUGGGCGAAAGCCUGACGGAGCAACGCCGCGUGUGUGAUGAAGGUCUUCGGAUCGUAAAACCGUGUUAUUAGGGAUGAACAAAUGUGGAAGGAACCAAGGACUUCUUGACGGUAACGAAUAAGAAAGCCACGGCUAACUACGUG